AUGGUGUGCGAGAAAUGUCAGAAGAAGUUAUCGAAGGUGAUAGUACCCGACAAAUGGAAAGAAGGAGCCAGCAAUACUACUGAGAAUGGUGGCCGCAAAAUCAACGAGAAUAAACUCCUAUCCAAGAAGAACAGAUGGACCCCUUAUGGAACUACUAAGUGCAUCAUUUGCAAGCAACAAAUGCACCAGGAUGGCAAGUACUGUCACACCUGUGCCUACUCAAAAGGAGUUUGUGCGAUGUGUGGCAAACAAGUUCUUGACACCAAGUUUUACAAGCAAAGCAAUGUGUAG